UACGGAGGGUGCAAACGUUGCUCGGAAUCAUUGGGCGUAAAGCGCACGUAGGCGGUCGGCUAUGUCGGAUGUGAAAGCCUCGGGCUUAACCCGAGAAGGCAUCCGAAACUGGCCGGCUUGAGUACGGAAGAGGGUCUCGGAAUUCCCGGUGUAGAGGUGAAAUUCGUAGAUAUCGGGAGGAACACCAGUGGCGAAGGCGGAGACCUGGCCGAUACUGGCGCUGAGGUGCGAAAGCGUGGGAGCAACAGG
rnacentral:rRNA from 1 species